GUGUCAGCAGCCGCGGUAAGACAGAGGGUGCAAACGUUGCUCGGAAUUACUGGGCGUAAAGCGCGUGUAGGCGGACUGAUAAGUCAGGUGUGAAAUCCCCAGGCUCAACCUGGGAACUGCACUUGAAACUGCCAGUCUUGAGUGAUGGAGAGGAUGGCGGAAUUCCUGGUGUAGAGGUGAAAUUCGUAGAUAUCAGGAGGAACACCGGUGGCGAAGGCGGCCAUCUGGAAAUCUACUGACGCUGAGACGCGAAAGCGUGGGGAGCAAACAGGAUUAGAAACCCUCGUAGUCC
rnacentral:rRNA from 1 species